GAGUAGUAAUAGUUAAGAUCUUUAAACUCAAAAAAUUUGGCGGUAUUUUAUCUUAUUAGAGGAACCUGUUUAUUAAUCGAUAAUCCACGACUUAUUUCACUUUUAAUAAUUAACUUGUAUACCGCUGUCAUGAAUAUAUCGGGGGGUAAUUUUCAGUUAUAUUUAAGUUAAUGUUAGGUCAAGGUGUAGUUUUUGAAGGUCAAAAUGGGUUACUUUAACAUGAUGGAGAAAUAGUAUUUGAAAGUAAAAUUAAAAAGUUUUAUGUGAAUAAAGAUUCUAAAAUAUG
rnacentral:rRNA from 1 species